AUGACCAUAGUACGUAAAGCAAAUCUACUAAUAAAAAUAAUCAAUCACUCAUUCAUUGACCUUCCCACUCCAUCCAAUAUUUCUAUAUGACGGAAUCUCGGCUCACUUCUUGGCACCUGCCUAAUCCUUCAGAUCAUUACAGGCCUAUUCCUAGCUAUACACUAUACACCAGAUACCUCAACCGCCUUCUCCUCAAUCACCCACAUUAUAGCCGAGACAUAAACUACAGCUGAACCAUCCGCUACCUCCAUGCUAACGGCACUUCAAUAUUCCUCAUCUGCCUCUUCCUACACAUCAGCUGAGGCUUAUAUUAUGGCUCAUUCUUGUUUUUAGAAACCUGAAACAUUGGUGUUAUCCUUCUGCUCACAACCAUAGCAACAGCCUUUGUAGGUUACGUACUUCCAUGAGGCCAAAUAUCAUUCUGAGGUGCCACAGUAAUCACAAACCUAUUAUCCACCAUUCCAUGUAUCGGAACUGACCUUGUCCAAUGAGUCUGAGGUGGAUAUUCAGUUGACAAGCCUACUCUCACACGAUUCUUCACUUUCCACUUUAUCUCACCUUUCAUCAUUGCAGCCCUAGCAGCCCUUCACCUACUAUUCCGCCAUUAAACAGGGUCUGAUAACCUACAGGAAUCUCCUCACUCUGAUAAAAUCGCUUUCCACCCUUACUACACCAUCAAAGAUAUUCCAGGUUUAAUACUCCUUUUUCUCACUUUAAUAACACUAGUGCCAUUUACACCUGACCUCCUAAGUGACCCAGACAACCACACCCUAGCCAGUCCCCUAAAGACUCCACCCCACGUUAAACCUGAAUGAUGCUUUUUGUUCGCAUAUGCAAUCUUACAGUCUAUCCCUAAUAAACUAGGAAGCGUACUGGCCCUCCUGCUAUCGAUUCUUAUUCUAGCAGCCAUCCCUGCACUUCACACAUCUAAACAGCAAAGUAUAAUAUUCCGUCCACUAAGUCAAUACUUAUACUGACCCUUAGUCACCAACCUAUUAAUCCUUACAUGAAUCGGAGGACAACCAGUAAGCCACUCCUUUAUUACCAUUGGACAAGUAGUAUCCAUAGUAUACUUCACUACGAUUCUUACCCUAAUACCACUCGACUCCCUAAUCGAAAAUAAG
rnacentral:lncRNA from 1 species